GAUCCUAGCGUUGUUCGGAAUCAUUGGGCGUAAAGCGGGUGCAGGUGGCUAUGUAAGUCAGGUGUGAAAGCCUGGGGCUCAACCCCAGAAGUGCAUUUGAUACUGCGUAGCUUGAGUGCUAGAGAGGAUAGUAGAAUUCUUGGUGUAGUGGUAAAAUACGUAGAUAUCAAGAGGAAUACCGGUGGCGAAGGCGGCUAUCUGGCUAGACACUGACACUCAGACCCGAAAGCGUGGGGAUCAAACAGGAUUAGAUACCCUGGUAGUCCACGCUAUAAACGAUGGAUACUUGUUGUUGGAGGUAUUGACCCCUUCAGUGACGAAGCUAACGCGUUAAGUAUCCCGCCUGGGGAGUACGGUCGCAAGAUUAAAACUCAAAGAAAUUGACGGGGGCCCGCACAAGCGGUGGAGCAUGUGGUUUAAUUCGAUGCAACGCGAAGAACCUUACCUAGGCUUGACAU
rnacentral:rRNA from 1 species